rnacentral:rRNA from 1 species
UACGAAGGGUGCAAACGUUGCUCGGAAUCAUUGGGCGUAAAGCGCACGUAGGCGGCUUCGCAAGUCGGAUGUGAAAUACCUAGGCUCAACCAAGGACGUGCAUCCGAAACUGCGAGGCUUGAGUACAGAAGAGGAUCGCGGAAUUCCCGGUGUAGAGGUGAAAUUCGUAGAUAUCGGGAGGAACACCGGUGGCGAAGGCGGCGACCUGGGUAGAUACUGACGCUGAGGUGCGAAAGCGUGGGGAGCAAACAGG